rnacentral:rRNA from 1 species
UACGAAGGGGGGCUAGCGUUGUUCGGAAUUACUGGGCGUAAAGGGCGCGUAGGCGGUGUGUCAAGUCAGGCGUGAAAAGCCCCCGGGCUCAACCUGGGAACAGCGCUUGAGACUGGCACGCUCGAGUUCGGGAGAGGAUGGUGGAAUUCCCAGUGUAGAGGUGAAAUGCGUAGACUAUCGGGGAGGAACACCAGUGGCGGAAGGCGACUACCUGGUCUGUUCUUGACGCUGAGGCGCGAAAGCUAGGGGAGCAAACGGG